rnacentral:rRNA from 1 species
ACGAACGCUGGCGGCAGGCCUAACACAUGCAAGUCGAGCGCCGUAGCAAUACGGAGCGGCAGACGGGUGAGUAACGCGUGGGAACCUUCCCAGUGGUACGGAAUAGCUCAGGGAAACUUGAGGUAAUACCGCAUACGCCCUUCGGGGGAAAGAUUUAUCGCCAUUGGAUGGGCCCGCGUCGGAUUAGCUAGUUGGUGAGGUAACGGCUCACCAAGGCGACGAUCCGUAGCUGGUCUGAGAGGAUGAUCAGCCACACUGGGACUGAGACACGGCCCAGACUCCUACGGGAGGCAGCAGUGGGGAAUAUUGGACAAUGGGCGCAAGCCUGAUCCAGCCAUGCCGCGUGAGUGACGAAGGUCUUCGGAUUGUAAAGCUCUUUUGGCGGGGACGAUAAUGACGGUACCCGCAGAAUAAGCCCCGGCUAACUUCGU